GGCCGGUGAUGUGAUAUUGAUAUUUGCUACUCUUGAUUGGGUUACUCCUGAAUCCAUCUGAUGAUUUUUUAUCCACCAAGAUCUCUUAGGCC